AGCAGCCGCGGUAAUUCCAGCUCCAAUAGCGUAUAUUAAAGUUGUUGCAGUUAAAAAGCUCGCAGUUGAAUUUCGGGAUCAAUUCGUCGGUCGUGCUUUUUGGUACGUACUGGUGUUAUUGGUUUCUCCCUUCUGACAAGCCAUGAUGUCAUUAAUUUGGUGUUGUGGGGAGUCAGGACUGUUACUUUGAAAAAAUUAGAGUGUUUAAAGCAGGCAUUAGCUUGAAUACAUUAGCAUGGAAUAAUGAAAUAGGACGUUCGAACCUAUUUUGUUGGUUUCUAGGAUCAACGUAAUGAUUAAUAGGGAUAGUUGGGGGCAUUAGUAUUCAAUUGUCAGAGGUGAAAUUCUUGGAUUUAUUGAAGACUAACUACUGCGAAAGCAUUUGCCAAGGAUGUUUUCAUUAAUCAAGAACGAAAGUUAGGGGAUCGAAGACGAUCAGAUACCGUCGUAGUCUUAACCAUAAACUAUGCCGACUAGGGAUCGGAUGAUGUUAAUUUUUUAAUGACUCAUUCGGCGCCUU
rnacentral:rRNA from 1 species